UGGGGAAUUUUGGGCAAUGGGCGAAAGCCUGACCCAGCAACGCCGCGUGCAGGAUGAAGGCCCUCGGGUCGUAAACUGCUGUCGGGAGGGAAGAAAAGCAGCGGGAGGAAAUGACCGCUGCCUGACGGUACCUCCAAAGGAAGCGCCGGCUAACUCCGUGCCAGCAGCCGCGGUAAUACGGAGGGCGCAAGCGUUGUUCGGAAUUACUGGGCGUAAAGGGCGCGUAGGCGGCCCUCUAAGUCGAACGUGAAAUCCCUCGGCUUAACCGGGGAACUGCGUCUGAUACUGGAUGGCUUGAGGUUGGGAGAGGGAUGCGGAAUUCCAGGUGUAGCGGUGAAAUGCGUAGAUAUCUGGAGGAACACCGGUGGCGAAGGCGACAUCCUGGACCAAUUCUGACGCUGAGGAGCGAAAGCCAGGGGAGCAAACGGGAUUAGAUACCCCCGUAGUCCCUGAGCGGGCUGGCAAGGCGCAU
rnacentral:rRNA from 1 species